GCAUCUAUGGCAGAGUGGUUAAUGCGCCGCACUCAUAAUGCGGUUUUUCGUUGGUUCAAUUCCAACUGGAUGCA
rnacentral:tRNA from 1 species